rnacentral:rRNA from 1 species
UGGGGAAUAUUGCACAAUGGGCGCAAGCCUGAUGCAGCCAUGCCGCGUGUGUGAAGAAGGCCUUCGGGUUGUAAAGCACUUUCAGCGAGGAGGAAGGUGGUGAGCUUAAUACGCUCAUCAAUUGACGUUACUAGCAGAAGAAGCACCGGCUAACUCCGUGCCAGCAGCCGCGGUAAUACGGAGGGUGCAAGCGUUAAUCGGAAUUACUGGGCGUAAAGCGCACGCAGGCGGUUUGUUAAGUCAGAUGUGAAAUCCCCGGGCUCAACCUGGGAACUGCAUUUGAAACUGGCAAGCUAGAGUCUCGUAGAGGGGGGUAGAAUUCCAGGUGUAGCGGUGAAAUGCGUAGAGAUCUGGAGGAAUACCGGUGGCGAAGGCGGCCCCCUGGACGAAGACUGACGCUCAGGUGCGAAAGCGUGGGGAGCAAACAGAUUAGNUACCCUGGUAGUCACGCUGUAAACGAUGUCGAUUUUGGAGG